rnacentral:rRNA from 1 species
GAUGAACGCUGGCGGCGUGCCUAAUACAUGCAAGUCGAGCGAACGGACGAGAAGCUUGCUUCUCUGAUGUUAGCGGCGGACGGGUGAGUAACACGUGGAUAACCUACCUAUAAGACUGGGAUAACUUCGGGAAACCGGAGCUAAUACCGGAUGAUAUUUUGAACCGCAUGGUUCAAAAGUGAAAGACGGUCUUGCUGGCACUUAUAGAUGGAUCCGCGCUGCAUUAGCUAGUUGGUAAGGUAACGGCUUACCAAGGCAACGAUGCAUAGCCGACCUGAGAGGGUGAUCGGCCACACUGGAACUGAGACACGGUCCAGACUCCUACGGGAGGCAGCAGUAGGGAAUCUUCCGCAAUGGGCGAAAGCUUGACGGAGCAACGCCGCGUGAGUGAUGAAGGUCUUCGGAUCGUAAAACUCUGUUAUUAGGGAAGAACAAAUGUGUAAGUAACUGUGCACAUCUUGACGGUACCUAAUCAGAAAGCCACGGCUAACUACGUG